GAUGAAGAACGCAGCGAAAUGCGAUAAGUAAUGUGAAUUGCAGAAUUCAGUGAAUCAUCGAAUCUUUGAACGCACCUUGCGCUCCUUGGUAUUCCGAGGAGCAUGCCUGUUUGAGUGUCAUGAAAUUCUCAACCUUUUCAGCUUUCUUUGUUGAUCAGGCUUGGAUGUGGGAGUAUGCGGGCUUCUCAGAAGUCGGCUCUCCUGAGAUGCAUUAGCGGGACCUUUGUUGCCUGGCUUUGGUGUGAUAAUUAUCUACGCCAUUGUAGUCAAGCAGCUUAAAAUGAGGUUUCAGCUUCUAACCGUCUCCCCUGAGACAACUUUUUGACAAUUUGACCUCAAAUCAGGUAGGACUACCCGCUGAACUUAAGCAUAUCAAUAAGCGGAGGA
rnacentral:misc_RNA from 1 species